UGGUGCAGAGGUCGUGGUUGCUUGUACUUAUGACCUCUGUGUAUUUGUUUUUGCAAAUAAACCAAUUUUCCUUACUAGCUUGGUGUAAGGUGGAUGAUAUUUUAACUGGUGCGGAGGGCGUGGUUGCUUGUACUUAUGCCCUCUGUGUAUUUGCUUCGUCAAAUAUGUGUUAAUGUAGUGUUUUUUUGAUUUUUUAUGCUUCGUCAUGAAACUCAUGCUACUUCAGUUAUUAUUGUCACGGUGAUAUUGGUUUGGAACAUAAUAAUUUUUGCAUUGUAACCUAUCAUAGGUUAUAAUUGCCAUGUAUUAUAUU
rnacentral:lncRNA from 1 species